rnacentral:rRNA from 1 species
ACGAACGCUGGCGGCGUGCCUAAUACAUGCAAGUAGAACGCUGAAGAGAGGAGCUUGCUCUUCUUGGAUGAGUUGCGAACGGGUGAGUAACGCGUAGGUAACCUGCCUUGUAGCGGGGGAUAACUAUUGGAAACGAUAGCUAAUACCGCAUAACAAUGGAUGACACAUGUCAUUUAUUUGAAAGGGGCAAUUGCUCCACUACAAGAUGGACCUGCGUUGUAUUAGCUAGUAGGUGAGGUAAUGGCUCACCUAGGCGACGAUACAUAGCCAACCUGAGAGGGUGAUCGGCCACACUGGGACUGAGACACGGCCCAGACUCCUACGGGAGGCAGCAGUAGGGAAUCUUCGGCAAUGGGGGCAACCCUGACCGAGCAACGCCGCGUGAGUGAAGAAGGUUUUCGGAUCGUAAAGCUCUGUUGUAAGUCAAGAACGGGUGUGAGAGUGGAAAGUUCACACUGUGACGGUAGCUUACCAGAAAGGGACGGCUAACUACGUG